AGCAGCCGCGGUAAUUCCAGCUCCAAUAGCGUAUAUUAAAGUUGUUGCAGUUAAAAAGCUCGUAGUUGAAUUUCGGGACUAACAGGUUGGUCGCGCCUUUGGUCUGUACUGGCCUAGUUGGUUUCUCCCUUCUGACGAACCACGAUGUCAUUAAUUUGGUGUCUUGGGGAAUCAGGACUGUUACUUUGAAAAAAUUAGAGUGUUUAAAGCAGGCUCACGCUUGAAUACAUUAGCAUGGAAUAACGAAAUAGGACGUUUGAUUCUAUUUUGUUGGUUUCUAGGAUCGACGUAAUGAUUAAUAGGGAUAGUUGGGGGCAUUAGUAUUCAAUUGUCAGAGGUGAAAUUCUUGGAUUUAUUGAAGACUAACUACUGCGAAAGCAUUUGCCAAGGAUGUUUUCAUUAAUCAAGAACGAAAGUAGGGGAUCGAA
rnacentral:rRNA from 1 species